rnacentral:rRNA from 1 species
UAGGGAAUCUUCGGCAAUGGGGGGAACCCUGACCGAGCAACGCCGCGUGAGUGAAGAAGGUUUUCGGAUCGUAAAGCUCUGUUGUUAAGGAAGAACGAGUGUGAGAAUGGAAAGUUCAUGCUGUGACGGUACUUAACCAGAAAGGGACGGCUAACUACGUGCCAGCAGCCGCGGUAAUACGUAGGUCCCGAGCGUUGUCCGGAUUUAUUGGGCGUAAAGCGAGCGCAGGCGGUUAGAAAAGUCUGAAGUGAAAGGCAGUGGCUCAACCAUUGUAGGCUUUGGAAACUGUUUAACUUGAGUGCAGAAGGGGAGAGUGGAAUUCCAUGUGUAGCGGUGAAACGCGUAGAUAUAUGGAGGAACACCGGUGGCGAAAGCGGCUCUCUGGUCUGUAACUGACGCUGAGGCUCGAAAGCGUGGGGAGCGAACAGG